rnacentral:rRNA from 1 species
UAGGGAAUCUUCCACAAUGGGCGAAAGCCUGAUGGAGCAACGCCGCGUGUGUGAAGAAGGGUUUCGGCUCGUAAAGCUCUGUUGUUAAACGAAGAACACGUAUGAGAGUAACUGUUCAUACGUUGACGGUAUUUAACCAGAAAGUCACGGCUAACUACGUGCCAC